GGUCGAUUAGCUCAGUUGGUUAGAGCGCCGUACUAAUAUAUCCUCGGAUGUCAUGCGGAUGUCAUGGGUUCGACCCCCAUAUUGACCA
rnacentral:tRNA from 1 species